rnacentral:rRNA from 1 species
UACGGGGGGAGCAAGCGUUGUUCGGAUUUACUGGGCGUAAAGGGCGCGUAGGCGGCCACCGCAAGUCGACUGUGAAAUCUCCGGGCUUAACCCGGAAAGGUCAGCCGAUACUGCGGGGCUAGAGUGCAGAAGGGGCAACUGGAAUUCUCGGUGUAGCGGUGAAAUGCGUAGAUAUCGAGGGGAACACCUGCGGCGAAGGCGGGUUGCUGGGCUGACACUGACGCUGAUGCGCGAAAGCUAGGGGAGCGAACGGG